AGUUUGAUCCUGGCUCAGAACGAACGCUGGCGGCGUGGAUAAGACAUGCAAGUCGAACGGGACACUGUGAGUAGCAAUACAAGCAGUGUCUAGUGGCGAACGGGUGCGUAACACGUGGAUACAUUCCGGGAAGCGGGGGAUAGCCCAGGGAAACUUGGAUUAAUACCGCAUGUGAUCGAGAGAUCAAAGACGGGGACCGCAAGGCCUGUCACUUCCCGAUUGGUCCGCGGCCUAUCAGCUAGUUGGCGGGGUAACAGCCCACCAAGGCUACGACGGGUAGCUGGUCUUAGAGGACGACCAGCCACACUGGAACUGAGACACGGUCCAGACACCUACGGGUGGCAGCAGUCGAGAAUCUUUCACAAUGGGGGCAACCCUGAUGGAGCGACGCCGCGUGGAGGAUAAGGUCUUCGGAUUGUAAACUCCUGUCAUGCGCGAACAAGGUUGCAGGGAUAAUACCUUUGCAAAUUGAUGGUACCGCAAGAGGAAGAGACGGCUAACUCUGUGCCAGCAGCCGCGGUAAUACAGAGGUCUCAAGCGUUGUUCGGAAUCACUGGGCGUAAAGGGUGCGUAGGUGGCGUGGUAAGUCAGAUGUGAAAGCCCGGGGCUCAACCUCGGAAUUGCAUCCGAUACUACCAUGCUAGAGUACUGAAGAG
rnacentral:rRNA from 1 species